AAAUGAGGACCUGCAGGGCAGAAAGGUCGCCUCCGUCCCCAGCACCUGCAGGUUCCCUUCUACACUUCAUGGUCCUCAGCAACAUCUUCUAAAUCACAUUCCUUCUGAUUUUGAACCCCUGAUGAAAGCUUUUAGUGACACCCACUACCCCCACCGCUGCCUCCAGGAUGAGUCCAGCCCCUUACACUGUCCUGGCUGCCUUGGGCUGGGCUGGCUCCUGGCCAGCUCCACACCCUCACCUUGGGAGGCCUUGCUGUCUCCCGGCCUCACUCUUGCCCCUGCUGCCCCUCCCUCGGCCGUUCAGGCUCCUUGCCAUGCAUGUGUUCAUUUACUCACAAGUGUUCACAGAACAUCUGGUCACGGCACUGGCUCACUGCUGGGGAUGCUGGGCCGCCAGUCCCUGCUCUUGUGGUGCUCGGAGCCUGGGGAGGGAGACGGAGACAAGCCCUGGUAAGUCCUGAGAUAAAGCGUCCAGUGGGGGUUGACAGGAUGCCACUCUGGAAGCCCCAUCUGGCACGUUUAUUUCUGGGCUCCCUCCAUGACACCCUUCCUUGCUUUUUUCUGUCACAUGGGGUCAGCCCCACUUUGUUUGCUUCCCUCUUCCGCUCUGCUCUGCUGAGCACGGGACUCAUAUCUGGUUGUAAUCUUUACAGCCUCCAGGGCAGGUACAGAGCGCCCUGCUGCCUUGCUUG
rnacentral:sRNA from 1 species